CAACGUGCGCAAAGCUGGAAAGCAGCGCCGACGUCGCUCGCACGAGUCCACCUUAUGACGUUUUUCUAGGAGUGCGAAGGGAUGUUCUCCUCCCUGCUCCGCUUCCAAAUGAAGGAUAAUUGUGGGCCGCUUGACAACGUGCGCAAGUGUGGGCGGUGAUGGCGCAGACAACAGUGGACAGUCGACGUACCUGAAAAGCCUGAGUCCGCCUCGUGACGUUUCUUGGGAACCGGGAGAAUGAGUGGGUCUUGACGGCUGGACCCUGACGUUCGAGAUGCUUGCCACGUCGCCGUGAGGAACGAACUCUUCGUUCUCAUGGGUACGA
rnacentral:lncRNA from 1 species